rnacentral:lncRNA from 1 species
GUACAGCAGCAAUAUUUGCACCAGUACUAUUUAUUUAUUUUUCGUGGUGCUGAAGUUUCACUACCCUUGUUAUAUACUGAUGGUCACUAAUUCCUGUGGAUACUGCUUAACAUCUUUUUACAGAUUUUCAUUUACUUUUUAUUUUUCUUAACAAGAACCUAAUUUUUUCGUUGAGUAAAUGUUUCAAUGAUUAAAUGAAAAGUGACUGAUGCCUAAAGAAAAAAUGUAAAGUCAUAUGGAAGUGAAUAAGGAACAUAAAUGAGAAAAAAAAAGUCAGAAGUAUUCCAAAAAAAAAAAAACUGAAAGAAUAAUCUUACAAAGAACUUGAGGCGCCAAUCAAAUUUGUAUCUUCAAAAACCAUAAGAGCUUAGAGAACAAAAAAAAAAAAAAAAAGAACCUAAUUCUCCCAUAACAAGAACCUAAUUCUCCUCCUACUAUAUUGGUGGAUUAUUGGUGGUCUAACAUUGCAUUCCCGGUCCAAUUUUACCUUGUCCUCAAGGUGGAAAUCAGGAAAAGACUGCUGAAAAUCGUCAUAAUUCUCCCAAGUGGCCUCAUGUUUUGGCAACCCCUUCCAGCUUAUUAAAACCUCCCAAACGCCUUUACUAUUCUUCUUGAUAUCCAUAAAUCUCAUCAGGUUCAGGGUUUUCAGUCAAAAAGGGUACCCACUCCACCUUAUCCUUGCAUUCCCCAAAGGCUUUCUUCAACUGUGAAAUGUGGAACACUGGAUGUAUUGUUGCUGAAGUAGGGAGUUUAAGUUUAUAAGCUACAUAACCAAUCUUCUUCAGAAUACGAUAAGGACCGAAGUACUUAGGGGACAACUUCUCAUUCCUUCUUUUUCGCAUAGAAACCUGUCGGUAGGGUCUGAUUUUUAAGAAAACCAUAUCUCCUUCAAAUUCUACAUGUCUUCUCUUCAUAUCUGCAUAACUCUUCAUCUUUUCUUGAGCUAUUCGCAAAUGCUCCUUCAAAGCCCCUAAAGAGACAUCCCUUUCUUUAAGUUGCUCAUCAAGCGUGGAGUUUGGAGUCUCUCUGUCUCCAUAGUAAAUAAGGGCCGGUGGCGUUCUUCCAUAGCUUGAAAAGGAGUCACACCCAAGGAUCGCUGGUAUGUAGUAUUAUACCAAUAUUCUAUCCAAGGAAUCCACUUCACCCACUCUUUUGGUCUCUCUCCACAAAAACAGAAAUAUUUUGUCACGAUCGGAAACAAUGGAUUGGGGAAAUCCAUGCUGUCUUACUACUUCCUUAAUAAACAACUCAGCCACCACUUUAGCAUCGAAUGGGUGUUUUAGACUUAGAAAAUGACCAUAUUUACUAAACCGAUCCACCACCACCAAGAUAACUCCAUACCCCCACAACUUUGGCAGCCCUUCAAUGAAAUCCAUUGAAAUAUCUUCCUCACACUCUACUUGGAAUCUCCAACGGAACCAGUAAUCCCGCAGGUGUAAGGACCGAUGUCUUAUUUAUUUGGCAAAGGCACAUUCUUUGCAGUAUUUGUAACUUCUCAUUUCAUGCCCUCCCAAAACAGCUCUCCGGUCAAUCUCUUGUAUGUUCUUAGGAAUCCCAAAUGGCCCCUAAGGACAGAAUCAUGAUAGGUAUGCAUAACGUUAGGAAUCAAUGAAGAAGUCUUUGCAAUCACCAACCUUCCUUUAUAUCUAAGUAUACCCUGCUGUAAGGAAUAAUUUUUAACUUCUUCAUUCUGUGGCUUCAUGAUUAUUUCUUUCAACUUCCCAUCCCUAUCUACCUCCUCCUUAAUAAUUUUCAGAUCAAUCAACGUCGGGGCCGUUAACUGAUUAAGGAAUACCGUGGGUGGUACUCGAGACAGGGCAUCUGCUGCCUUAUUUUCCAAGCCGGGCUUAUAUACUACCUCGAAGGAAUAGCCAAGCAAUUUUGCAAUCCACUUAUGAUAUUGUGGCUGUAUGACCCUCUGUUCAAGUAAAAAUUUAAGGGAAUGCUGGUCAGUCUUGACUAUGAACUGCCUUCUGAUCAAAUAUGGCCGCCAACGUUGUACCGCCAACACUACUGCCAUCAACUCCCUCUCAUAAACCGGCUUGGCUCGGUCCCUCAUUGCCAAUGUGUGGCUAUAGAAAGCAAUAGGUCUCUUGUUUUGCAUCAGCACCGCUCCCUCUCCAUACCCAGAUGUGUUUGUUUCUAAUUCAAACGGUAUAUUGAAAUUGCGUAAAGCUAAUACUGGCAGAGUCAUCAUAAUAUUCUGUAACCUUAGGAAAGCUUUCUGAGCCUCAUCAUUCCAUUUAAAAGACCCCAACUUCAAUAACUAAGUUAAAGGUGCUGCAAUGGAACCAUAAUGUUGUACAAAUCGUCGAUAAUACCUGGUCAGUCCCAAAACUCCCCUAACUUCUCGUACAUUUGUUGGAAUUGGCCAUUGCUUGAUAGAUCUUAUCUUCUCCGGAUCUACCUCUACUCCUUCCCCAGACAAAAUGUGGUCUAAAUAUAUAUGCGAAACUACAUUUCUUUUUGUUAGCAUACAACUUGUGAGUUCUCAACACUUUUAAUACCAACUCCACAUGUUGACAAUGUUCUUCUACCCCUCUACUAUAAAUCAGGAUAUCAUCAAAGAAGACAAGGACAAAUUUCCUCAAAUAUCAUCUGAAAAUAUUAUUCAUCAAGGACUGAAAAGUUGCUGGUGAAUUAGUUAGCCCAAAAGGCAUUACUAGAAAUUCAUAGUGCCCUUCGUGCGUUCUAAAUGCUGUUUUUUCUAUAUCUUGGUUACACAUCCUAAUUUGGUGAUAACCAACUUUAAGAUCAAUUUUAGAAAACAGAUUUGCACCAUUUAAUUCAUCAAGCAGCUCCUCAAUAACAGGGAUAGGGAACUUAUCUGGAAUUGUUACGUUAUUGAGCACCGGGUAGUCAACACAAAACCUCCAACUCCCAUCUUUUUUUUCUCACCAAAAGCACCGGACUCGAAUAAGGACUUGUACUGGGACGAAUAAUUCCAGACGAUAAUAUUUCAUCUACUAGUUUCUCCAUCUCUUCCUUCUGUUGAAACAUGUACCUAUACGGUCUAACGUUUACUGGAUCUAUUCCUCCCUUCAAGUGUAUAUGAUGCUUGAUAUCCCUCCUUGGGGGUAAUUCUUCCAGCCACUCGAACACAUCCUUAUACCGUGCUAACACAGAUUGAACUUUCUCCUGCCUUGUGUUUGCCGCUUCCUCUUCCUGUCGGCCAAUAUCAAUAAUCCUUGCUUCCAAGGCUCUGCAUUCCACCAAAUAUCCUUGGUCCAAGUUGGUCCAAGACUUUUUCAAACUAACUUGAGUCUUUGUUAAACUGGGAUCCCCUUAAUUAUCACCUUCCUGUUUUCAUGAAAGAAGGUCAUGAUAAGGUUUUUCCAAUCCAUUUCAGUCACCCCUAAGGAGUAUAGCCAUUGCAUCCCAAGUAUUACAUCCACCCCUCCUAACUCCAAUGGCAAAAAAUUCUCUAUUACUUCCUAACCGUCAAGGUCAACUUCCACCUUCUCACAUAUCCCCCUCCCUUUAAUGGCAGUUCCCGAUCCAAAAAUAACUCCAUAAUUGGAGGUAUCCUUUGUGUUCAACUUCAGCAUCAACACCAGCUUGUCUGAAAUAAAAUUAUGCGUGGCUCCGCAAUCGAUCAACACAAUGACUUCUCUUCCUUGAAUUUUCCCUCUAACUUUCAUGGCACCAGGAUUCGUCAGCCCCACCACCGAAUUAAUACAUAAUUCGACUACCCCUUCUAUUUCGCUUUUCAACUCCAUAGUGCACAACUCCCUUUGCUCAUAUACGUCUUCCUCUAUAAUUUCUUCUUCUACAUUAUCUGCCCGAAUCACAAACAUUCGUAGCUCCCUUAUUUCUUUUGCCUUACAUUUAUGCCCCGAGUAGUAUUUCUCAUCACAUUUAAAACACAAUCCCUUCUCUCUCUUGGCUUGAAAUUCGACAUCUGAUAAACGCUUAGAUGGCCUUUCCUUUUUAUUCUCAUUGGUCGUUGAUCCUCUCAAUGUAAUGGUUCUUAUCGAAAAUACAACGUUACCUCUGUUUUUCUGAUAAUUAUUUGUUGCAUUCGACUUAGUAUGAACAUAGGGGUAAUAUGGGAAUUUCCCUCUAUUAUAUCUCGGUAAAUUUGCUUCCUUCCUUAAAAUCUCCCUAUUCUCUACCAUUUGAGCGUACUGCAUCAUUUGUGAAAACCUCACUAGUCGACAAAACUCUACUUCUUGGUAACAACCCUCCAAUAAAAGUUUCUUCCAAAAUUUUCUCCUGAAUAUCCGAUAAAGGGGCAACCAAUUAACAAAAAGAUUUCGAUAUUCCUCCGCACUUGAAGUUUGUUGUAUUUGCAGAAACUGGCCGGAAAGAGACCCUUUUUGUAUCGAACGAAAUCGGAUUAACAACUGUUCUUUCAUAUUUAACUAGUCAGUAAACUUAUCUCUCCUCCUGAAACCGAUACCAGUGUAGUGUCGGGCCCUCAAAACUAACCGUCGCUACCAGAAGCUUCUCGGAAUCAGUUAAUCUGUGUAUCUGAAAAUACCGAUCCACGCGAAACAGCCACAAGUCUGGAUCAUCUUCGUUGAAGACAGGCAUCUCAACUUUUAAAAAUUUUUGCUGAUCAGAAUUUUCGUCUUCUAUUUCACUUUUCUUCUCCUGAUUUUCGUUUUUGAUUUCUUUGCUUGUUGAACCUUCUCCUUCUUUAGAUUUCGUCGGUGAAGUUUCUUAUAAAAGAAAUCGAAAAUCGUGACCGUAUUAGCCCUUCGUUCCUCACAGAGGAAAGGAAUCAUAUUAAAAAAAAAGCAAGCUUCAUUGGCUAAAAGAAGGGGAUGAGAAGAUGCUAUUUUUAUAUUUAGGGCUUCCAUUGGGGAGUUAUCCAUGACAAGCUACUUUUUGGCAGUCCAUGAUUGAUAAUAGACAAAUGGAGAAGAUUUAAUCUGUCGAAGAGGAAGAGCAACUUUAUGCCAAUCCGUAUUGAUCAAUCUCCCCCCUUAUUAUAUGUCUUUGUUUGCAAUGCCGGACACUGGAGCCUCCUCUUUGGAGAGGCUAGUGAGGAAUUUUUCUGGGAGGGGCAUGGAAGCAAAAUCAACCACCUAGUUAAAUGGGCCAAAGUUAUUCGGCCUCAACUUGAUGGAGGUUUAGGUUUGGGAGCACUACAAAAUAAAAACUUGGCUUUCCUUGCCAAGUGGGGCUGGAGAUUUACGAAUGAAGAGGAUUCUUUAUGGAGGCAAGUUAUCCGAAGCAUCCAUGGAAAAGAACCAUUUAACUGGCACAUGGUUGGUAAUUCUGGUUAUAGCCUUAAAUGCCCUUGGAUUCGUAUCUCAAGAAUUUGGAGGAAGGUGGAGUCCUUGCCCUCUUUCAAACUUGGUGAUGGCUCAAGAAUUUCCUUCUGGGCAGAUGGGUGGAUUGAUAAUCUUUCAAACUUUUGUAAUUGCUGUGACUAGUUCUCAAACAUGGAACUUGUCCAGGGACUUGCAAUUAUAUUUUCAUCCCUUUCCCCUUCAGCCUAAAAGUGCGACGGUUUACAUUUCAUUUUUCAAUGAUUCUUUUGUGCGCCUUCAAAUUCCGCUUUAUAGUACAGCCAAAGUUUUGAGGAAAAAGCCAAGACUCAUGCGAGGUUAAUGCAUUAGCGACUCAAUUUGAGGAAUGUAUAAGGAACAUGAAAAUAAACAAAAGUUAAGGAAUGCCUCAUCAUGGUGUAUUUUGUCUUAAGGCAUUUGAAGACUAUUCCAUCUAGGAGUUUUAUUUGAAUUGGCGAGCCUUAACUUUUACAUCAUAGUCCUCUUGUAUUGUUGUAUUUUUUUUUUGUUCCUUCCUUGUUUGUACUCUCCCGCUAUUUGGGUGUCUAAUUUGGGCUGUGCAUAAGCCUAAGUUUUACUUGGUUAUAUUAGAUUCUUGGAUAUGAUGAGGACGCUAUGGGACUGUCAACCUAGUUGAGAUGUUCGGGUGUGUCUCCUGAUCCUUGGGCCUUUUUGUUCUAUGCUCUUUACAUAGUUCUUUUGUACUGUGAACAUUAGCCUCAUUUCUAUCAUUAAUGAAAUGGCUUGUUCUUUUUCAAAAAAAAGAAAAACCCAUUUGUUUGUGUGCAACAUUCAAAUUCCUUUUCUAAUUAAUUCUACCGUCUUUUUGGCUACAUAUAUUUGGAGUUCAUUUUUUGCAACUUCUAUAAGUAAUCCUUCUCACCCUACCACUUAAAAAUGUUUUACUUGUAUUAUUUGGUCGACUUUUCUAAAUCUUAAUGUUUGCAAUUUAAUAGAAUUUUACUUUCAUGAGUUGUCUGAAAGUUCUCACCAGGCACACAAGGGGAGAUAUGGCGAAAGCAACAUCUGUCCGCAGUAGAAUGUUUUAAUUAUUUAUUGAUGGGAUGCUUGUUACAAGCUAUAGCAUUAUAUUUGCUAUAUGAGAAAUUUCUAUAUUACUGAGUAAAUCAUAAUAAUUCAAAGUACAUAACGAUGUUUUACAUAGGAAAUAAAUAGACCUCAAAGUAACCUCCACAGGAAAAUUCAUAUAUGGAAAAUACCAAAAAGGAAAAUACUAAUAAUUCAUAAACCCUAAUUUUCCUUUAACAACUUCCCUCAAACUCAAGGUUCUAGAAUCUUGAACUUGAGUUUGCUAAGAAAACAUCUAAAUCAAAUCAGUAGAUCUAGGAUAGAACAAAAAACUUAUGAUGAACCAAACACACAAGAAACUUCUUGGCUAAAGACAAACCCACAAAGAACGAAACGAAGAACUUCUGAGAUAGAAGCAUAGAUCCUUGUAUAGAGAUCUAUAACAACAAAAUCUAGGAAGAACGGAAGAACUUAUGGGCAAUAACAAAGAUCCUCAUGGAGAGAGAUGUAAUAAAUGACAGAUGUUGCUGAUCACACACAAAAUUGAACUAGAUUAAUCUAAAUCGCACUUAUCUUGGGCCAACUGCCAUGGAUGCUGAAAUGGCUUUCUUAAUGGCCAACCAAGCAUUAGCGACAUCUGGAAAACUUGUCUUUGAUCCUUUUGUUGGCACUGGGAGCAUUCUUGUUGGCGCAGCUCAUUUUGGAGCAAUGACAAUGGUAACUACUUUAAGGACAUCACAAUUUAUCUCAUAAAGAAAUUGUCUGAUUUUACAACAUUUGGCUGAUAGAAAACAUGUGGGUGACUUAAUAUUCUAAAUUGAUAGCUUUGAACACAUUCCUCUGAAGUCUUUUACUUUCUUUCUCAUACAUGACUUAUGGGGCUACUUUUUCUAUGCAUUGGAUAUUAUAUUAUAAGUUCGGGUUCAAUCUUGUAGCGAACAUUCAUUGCAUUCAGGGAACUUAAUUUAAGGUAGUUUUCAGUUCCCAUAGAAUGCGUGUGAGAGAGAUACCAUUUGAAUUCAAACUGACCAAAAUGUAUCAGGGGGCAGACAUUGACAUUAGGGUGGUACGUGAUGGUUGUGGCCCUGAUUGUAAUGUUUGGAGCAACUUCAAGCAGGUAAAUAUGUUUUAUAAAUUCUUAGAACUCAAGGACACAAAUGUACCACCUAUAGAAUAAAUCCUGUUCAAGUAAGGUCAUGCUUUAUAAUAAAAUUCUACAAUUCUAGGUUUAGAAAUUUUGUUCAUGGUGCUAGUCUUGGUUUAUAAUGCUCUAUGUUGAAAGUUUGAAACUCUAUGACUAACAGUAAAAUACAUGUGAGGGUGACAAGCAUGAUAAAGGAUAACCGACUGUACUGCUAGUAUUUUGCAUGUGCAAUUUUCUGUGAUUCAACUGAUUAUGAUAAUAUCAAAUUUUGAUGCUUUAUGUUCCUAUGUAUGAUCAUAGAUGUUUCAUGCUGUAAUGGUACUAAUCUGUUUAUUACUGCUUGCAGUAUGGAUUACCACCUCCAAUUGCACUGUUAAGAGCAGAUAAUAAUCUUCCUCCCUGGCGUCCAGGAUUGAAGGAGGUACAGCAGCAAUAUUUGCACCAGUACUAUUUAUUUAUUUUUCGUGGUGCUGAAGUUUCACUACCCUUGUUAUAUACUGAUGGUCACUAAUUCCUGUGGAUACUGCUUAACAUCUUUUUACAGAUUUUCAUUUACUUUUUAUUUUUCUUAACAAGAACCUAAUUUUUUUGUUGAGUAAAUGUUUCAAUGAUUAAAUGAAAAGUGACUGAUGCCUAAAGAAAAAAUGUAAAGUCAUAUGGAAGUGAAUAAGGAACAUAAAUGAGAAAAAAAAAGUCAGAAGUAUUCCAAAAAAAAAAAAACUGAAAGAAUAAUCUUACAAAGAACUUGAGGCGCCAAUCAAAUUUGUAUCUUCAAAAACCAUAAGAGCUUAGAGAACAAAAAAAAAAAAAAAGAACUUAUUUAAAUAUUUUAAAGAGCUUUGAGUUUUGAGGUGGAAAAAUUGUUCUCUUUGUGUUGUUUUUUUCCCCUGUUUUGUGGGGCUGUUUUGGAUAUGUUGUUUUUGGUUUUGGAUCUUUGGUGGUUUGUUUUUAUUUCCUUUGGUGCUUUGUUUUCAUUUCCUUUGGUGCUUUGUUGUCAUUUCUUUUAGUGCUUUUUUUUUUCUUCCUCUGUUUGUGUUUGAACUCCAGUAUGUUGUACUUCAAUAGUAAACUUUAUUGAUGAAUAACGAUGUAAAUCCUUAGUAGAAUAUAAGAAUACAAAGUCUCUCCAACUGUUAUGCUAUCUUUUAAGGAUUAAACAAAAGACUCACUAAUCUCUUUUAGUAACUAACUUUCUGUCCAAAACAGAUUUCCUAUUUAUAUUUCAACUAACCGACCUACUGCCUGACUCAUUGACCCCUGGCCUUCUCACUAAGUAACUGCCCCUCUCAAUGUCCUGAGUUUAAUGUGGAGGAGCAAGCCAUUUGUUCCGUUGGGCUAACCAAAUCCAAGCCUGGUGUUUUUGUUGAGGCAAUACAACAUCUUUUAAUUCUAGCUACACCAGCAGAGGUAAUAAUUUCCCAACACUGCUUUUUUCCUUUAUGUGUUACUUUUGUCUUUUAGACUGGUAUACAUUGUCUGAUCAUGCAAAACUCAACAAUAAUCAAGACUUUAAACUGGUCUAAAUCGAUUGAUCAUGUAAAGUGACAAAGUCAAAACUAGCACAUAGUACCUAGAGCUACUCUGUUGAUUUGGCUGGUUUUCUGCACUAUAUCAUUAAGUUAGGCCACUUGGAUGUUGGGACCUCUUGGUUAGAAAAUUCUUUCUAACAAGCAGGCUCAACCUCUUCAUAAGUCAUUCC